UACCGGGGGCGCACUGGUGCCCUGGCUGGCUGAGGAGCCGGAUUAAGGCACUUCCAUGGGGACAGCAGCAGCCCAGCAUGCGGCCUGGGCCGUGAUGCGCACGCGCCCACGUUCCGGGGCGGUGACGGGCACGCACACACGUUCCAGGGCGCCCCAGGGCCACGCGCGGCUCCUGGGGAGGAGACAGGAUCUCAACAGCAGGGGAAGACACGGGAGGUGCUCUCUGGCUCCUAAGACAGCAUUUCUGUCUAUAAAUGGCCUGUCCAAGGAGUUUCAGGAGGAGGAGCCUAAAGUACGGUGACACAACAGCCAAGAGCACUACUGAGACAGUGAAAGAACCGGUGAAUUCCUCAUCCUCCGGCCAGCCAAGAGUUAUGGUCUAUACAAACCCUCUGACAGAUUGUUUCACUGAGUUAACUUGCACAUGUCCAUAUAACCACAGUGCGUGGAGUGGAAAACAAUUGUAUGCAAGAGCCUGCUAGGCACUCUGGGUUGUCACAGCAGGCAGAGUGACCUCCUGAUCUCCAUUGUUGAAGGGUUUCGGAAAACAAUGAAACAAUGCCCACAAAGAGAGAGUGUUAUUGCCAGUGUGCCGGGACGCCUUCAUCACCCUCAGAUGCACGCGCCAUCCCAGGCAAAACAGUGCACAAACAGAGACCUUUUUCCAAAUCAUCCAGGAAGGGAUGGCAUGAGCCUUUGGCUUUGAGAAAAGAUUAUUAAGCAGUAAAAACCAUAAUUCAAAAGGACUGUUGUGAAGAUUAGACACGGAUAUGGAGGAAAGCACAGUGCCGGCCACAUGUCCUGUCUUACCUCAGGGCCACAUGUGGAAAGGCUGGAUUGCGUCUGUAUGCCCUAAGUGGCCAUGCUUUCCUUGGCCUGUGGAACAAUAGUGAGCAGGCUGUCGGGGGACACAUCUCUGGAGCCCAUUCUACCGACUGCUAGCUAUGUGAGGCCUGCUAAGGAAGGCUUUUCACCGGCCUUAGCUUCUUCAUCUGGAAAAUGAGGAACUCUGGCUUACGACCUCAAAAGCUGUUGUGAGGAUUCAGGGAGUUAACAAACACGACAGCACCGAGCACAGGACGUGCAUCUAGAAAAAAAGUUAAGAAAUCUUUUCUACUUCUCUGUGCACGUGUCUACCUGUCCAGUCUGCUACCCAUUCAAUAAGAAUAAAAUCAAUAUUCAGAAUAUCAGCCCUGUGUUUUGGUUUAUCACUGUGAGACCAGAACCACAAUGUUCUGAUUGGCAGAAUCUCUUACUUGUGUCCCAGUUUAGCAGAGGUGUACUGAAGUCUUUCUGUGGGGAACAGUUUUCUUUAAGUGCCAGUGCUCAGAGUAAGGGUGGGUCAGAAUAUGGUCACAUUUAUGAUAAAUACCCUCCCUUGCUUCCUUUCGGUAAUGUUGGCUGUCUUGCCCGGGCAGAAGACUGGGAGACAGUGGGUGUAGUGCCACAAUGAGGGGAGAGAAAGAGAAGCCAAGCAAAGCUCAGACACCCUGGGAAGGGCCCUAGGAAAACAAGAACCCGCAAGUUCUGGCUGGUGGGAUGGUAGAUUUGAAAUUAUCCCAAGAAAAAUAAAACAAAAUAAUAAAAAAUAUAAACAAAUAAAAUUAUCCCAAGAGAGAUGUUGGAAAGGGUCAAAACAGAGAAAGGAAGGACACUGAGCCUGGCCAGGGAUCCCAUCACACGAUAUCACACCUUUUCAUGUGAGACCUAACAAAGGGGACAGGGCUCACCGACAUUCGAUGGGGGUAAGAAAGGCAGCUGAACUGAGUUUCAGGCUAACGGUUAACAAAAAAAUCAACUACCCAUCUCCCAGUUCCCCUAGUUCUAAAUAGAAGGUAAGCCUUUUGUUAAAUAUCACACAUGCGUCUUUGUUUCAUCUGCUCUGGGUCCCCUUGUUUUCAGCAAUUCCCUUGCCAGGACUGAAGUGCCUCUACAUCUGUACAACUAGUCCCCACAAUGCCUGGUGAUAGGCUCUUCUCUUGG